rnacentral:lncRNA from 1 species
UCAAUGUAGAGACUCAAAACCUAUCUUGCAUGUAAUAGGUUAGACACUAUCAAUAUACACCAUAUAGAGUGGACGUACACCAAUUUUGGGUGGAACCACUAUAAAAUCUUGUGUUCUUUUUCUCUCCAAAAUCACUAUCUAUCGUGUGAGUAUUGAUCUAGAUUCAGAUCUAGAUCAAAGAGAGUGAUCUGGUAAUAACAAGUGGUAUCAGAACCUAGGUUACUGUAGCGGAGGGUAUUGUAGCGGCGAGUUACUAUAGCAGCGGAAUACUGUAGCAACGCACACACUGUAGCAAUGGGAGGAGAAGGGAAGAUCAGGAUUGAGAAAUUCGAUGUCAAGGACUUCAUGUAUUGGAUGAUGCAGAUUGAGGACUACCUGUACCAACGCAAAUUGUAUCGACCACUCAAGGGGGUGAAACCAGAUGAGAUGAUCAAUGAUUGCAGAUGGAUAGGAUGGCUCUAAGUGUGGUGAGAUUAAGUCUGACCAGAUAUGUUGCUCUUGCUUAUGCUGCUGAGAAGACUACUAUGGGGCUGAUCAGCAAGCUUAAGGGUAUGUAUGAGAAACCAUCAGCUUCCAAUCAGGUAUUCUUAAUAAGGAAAUUAUUCAAUUUGGUGCUAAAAGAAGGUGACUCAGUCACAAAACAUAUUAAUAUGUUUACUGCAAUGAUCGGGCAAUCAUCCUCUAUUAACAUUGUCUUUGAGGACAAGUUACAUGCUCUUAUAUUGCUAUCUUCACUACCUGAUAGUUGGGCAGGACUGAUCACUUCGGUAAGUAGUGCAAUGUCCAAGGAGGAGUUGAAAUUAGAAGAUGUGAAUGAUCUUCUAUUGGGAGAAGAAUUGAGGAGGAAGAAUAGUAGCCAUCAAGGAGCAAGUUCCUCAGCUUUGUUAGCUGAAUCAUCUGGAAGGCGCAGAUCACAUUCAAAGUCUGGUAGGACAGGGAACAGAUCUAAAUCCAGAGGUGCUAACAGAGCAAGAAAUGCUGUUUGCUGGAAUUAUGACAGCAAGGGUUACUUUAAGAGAUUGCAAGACUCCUCUUAAGAAGAAAGGCAAGGAGAAGGAGUAUGAAACUCUUGGGAGCUGCUCUGAAAAUUCUGAUGAAGAAGUGCUGAUUUGUUGUGUUAAUUCUGAGGUAGAAUCAUGGAUGUUAUAUUCUGAAGCAUCAUUUCAUUCAACAUUUCAGAAGGAGCAGUUGAAAAAUUAUUACUUCACAGAUCUGAAGGUGUAUUUAGCAAAUGGAUCUGCAUUGGAUGUUUUAAACAGAGGAGAAGUUCACAUCAAGAUAAAUCUAGGGUUGUGGAUUUUGAAGGAUGUGAGGUAUAUCUCUGGUCUGUCCAGACAAUUGAUAUCUGUGAGUCAGCUAGACAAGGAGGGCUACCAUGCCACCUUUGCAAAUAAUUCUUGGAAAAUUUCAAAGGAAAUCAGAAUUGUGGCUAAGGGGUCUAAAACAGGUACACUUUACUUAGUGCCUUCAGAGACUGAUGUCAUUUCUGUUGUAUCCAACAAGGAGGAGGACUCCACACUUUGGCACAAAAGGAUGGGACACAUCAGUGAAAGAGGAUUGAAGAAAUUACAAGUUGCUGGAAAGUUUCCAAAACUGAAAUCUGUCAGUUUGAAAGUCUGUGAGGACUGCAUAUUUAAAAAACAAAAGGCUGUGAAGUUUUCCAAACAGAAAAAAAUUCCGAAGGAGCAAAAUCUGGAGAGAAGCACUUGAAAGCAGUGAAAUGGAUUCUGAGAUAUCUUCAAAAUACAUUGGACAUUGGAUUGUGCUUUACUAAGGAGGUUGUGGUGCUUGAAGGCUACUGUGAUUCAGAUUUAGGAGGGGACUUGGAUACAAGCAGAAGUACAUCAGGAUACAUCUUUUGCAUUGAAGGCACAGCUGUGAGUUGGAGAUCCAAAUUGCAAGGUCAUGUGUCAUUGUCAACUACUGAGGCAGAAUACGUAGCUGCAACAGAAGCCACCAAGGAAAAAAUCUGGUUGGAAAAUUUGCUUACAGAGCUGGGGUUUGUGCAGAAAAAAUCAGUACUACAUUGUGAUAGCCAAAGUGCAAUCUACCUGGCUAAAAAUCCUAAAUUUCACUCCAAGUCCAAGCACAUCAGGCACCAAAUACCAUUUCAUUAGGGAACUCAUUGAGAAGGGUGAAUUGGAGCUGAGGAAGAUUUCUGGAGACCAAAAUGCAGCAAAUAUGCUUACAAAAAUCAUGAACAUUGCAAAACUAAGGCUAUGCAUGGCCUUAGUGAACCUUCGAGAUCAUUGAUGAAGGAAUGGUGUGGUGGUGUGAACAGUCUCCAAGUGGGAGAUUGUUGAGGUUUAAGUCACUUGGGAGAUAUAAGGAGUGUGGAUACUGUUUUGGUUUAAUUGGUACCCGUUAAUGGGCCAAUUAAGGAGUCAUUAUCUUGGACCGGCCCAAGAUAAUAACACUAUAUAUAUAUAUAUCUCAAUGUAGAGACUCAAAACCUAUCUUCCAUGUAAUAGGUUAGACACUAUCAAUAUACACCAUAUAGAGUGGACGUACACCAAUUUUGGGUGGAACCACUAUAAAAUCUUGUGUUCUUUUUCUCUCCAAAAUCACUAUCUAUCGUGUGAGUAUUGAUCUAGAUUCAGAUCUAGAUCAAAGAGAGUGAUCUGGUAAUAACAAAAGGAAAGCAGGGAGAUUUGGAGCAACGAUGGUCCAAAGUGUUGUACAUAUCUAUCAUGAGUUGAAGGAUUAUGCCUUGCGGAUCUUGGGAUUUUGAUGUUUGGCAUCUAGUUGCGAAAGAAAUUGGAGUACUUUCGCACAUGUAAAUAACUUUCACUUAACCUACUUUCGUGAAAUGAUCAUGAAAGGAUAAGUUGUGAAGUAGAAACCGGAUGACUAUUGAUCUACUAGACCUACUAGUCUUAGUCAACUACAACGUGAAGUUGUCGGAACACUUUGAAACAAACAAGUUGUUGAUUGAAGAUGGUGCUGAGAAAUAUGAUGCCAUUAGAAUUUACGAGCUUAUCCUAAGUGAAUGGAUCACUGGUUUGAUGGAGCAGCUAAUGAAUUCUAUGACAAAGAGACAAAGCUUAGAUGGGCAGAGGUAGAGGAAGAGGCUGGUGCAACUUGGCGUCCGGGGUCAUCUACUAGGAGUGCUCAGACUGUACCUGAUGUAGGGAGAAUCCCUGGAAAUCAGAUUAAAAAAGAAAUGGAGAAGAAGAAUAAGGAAG